GAAUUGAGAUACAAAAUUGUUGCAAGGUUUAUAAGGCUUCCAGCAGCAACUGCACACCCAACUGUCUUCUGAACAGCAGCAACACGCUGGAAUGCCCUUUCAGACUCCAAAUUUCUAACUCGAAGCUUCAAAUCACCUUGCUCCAAUCGUUGGAUAGUUUCAGCAAGCUUGUCAACUCUAUCUGCCUGUCUAAAUAAGUUGUAGAAAGCACGAGACUGCCUGUCCCAUCUCUUUCUGAGGUCCUUCAGGAGAACUUCAACUCCAGCUUCGCGAAACCUCAGCAACUCGAGUGCAUAAGGUUUGGCAAUCUCUGUUAUAUCAAACCGAGGGUCAAGGCCCUUCCCAAUGCCAUCCAGCACUGAAAAUGCUCUGACAACAAAUGUGAAUGUGGC
rnacentral:misc_RNA from 1 species